UACGUAGGGUGCAAGCGUUGUCCGGAAUUAUUGGGCGUAAAGAGCUCGUAGGCGGUUUGUCGCGUCUGCUGUGAAAACCCGAGGCUCAACCUCGGGCCUGCAGUGGGUACGGGCAGACUAGAGUGCGGUAGGGGAGAUUGGAAUUCCUGGUGUAGCGGUGGAAUGCGCAGAUAUUAGGAAGAACACCAGUGGCGAAGGCGACCACUGGGUCCGUACUGACGCUGAGGUGCGAAAGCUGGGGAGCAACAGGAUUAGAACCUACGUCGAG
rnacentral:rRNA from 1 species